GAUGAACGCUGGCGGCGUGCCUAAUACAUGCAAGUCGAACGAGGUGCUAUUGUAGCAAUACGAGAGUAUCCUAGUGGCGAACGGGUGAGUAACGCGUUGGUGACCUACCCCAAAGUGUGGGAUAACAGUCCGAAAGGAUUGCUAAUACCGCAUGUGGUUUUCGGAUUUAGAAACUGAUGACUAAAGGAGCAAUUCGCUUUGGGAGGGACCUGCGUCCCAUCAGCUAGUUGGUGAGGUAAUGGCUCACCAAGGCUACGACGGGUAGGGGACUUGAUAGGGUGAACCCCCACAAUGGAACUUAAACACGGUCCAUACACCUACGGGUGGCAGCAGUAGGGAAUAUUGCACAAUGGGCGAAAGCCUGAUGCAGCGACGCCGCGUGUGCGAUGAAGGCCUUCGGGUCGUAAAGCACUUUUCUGGGAGAUGAGCAAGGACAGUAUCUCAGGAAUAAGUCUCGGCUAACUACGUGCCAGCCGCCGCGGUAACAC
rnacentral:rRNA from 1 species